rnacentral:rRNA from 1 species
GUGGAUUAGAUACCCUAGUAGUCCACGCCGUAAACGAUGGAUGCUAGCCGUCGGCAAGCUUGCUUGUCGGUGGCGCAGCUAACGCAUUAAGCAUCCCGCCUGGGGAGUACGGCCGCAAGGUUAAAACUCAAAGGAAUUGACGGGGGCCCGCACAAGCGGUGGAGCAUGUGGUUUAAUUCGACGCAACGCGAAGAACCUUACCAGCUCUUGACAUGGUCGGUCGGUUUCCAGAGAUGGAUUCCUCCUAGCAAUAGGCCGAUACACAGGUGCUGCACGGUCGUCGUCAACU